UGGACAACAGAUAUGAACGUUUUGCAGUUAGUCAAAUGGUGUAGUGUAAAGUCUAGGUUGCUUUGAAUAUACAAAUCAGGUGAGCGGGGUAUUGAAUGUAGCAGGCUGGAAAGAUGUUUUGAUAAAUUGGCAUGAACUGUGAAGUUUACCAUUGCUUACAUCCAGUGGGACUGUAAAUUCUGAAAUGGAUUUGGAGGUGUAUGUUGGAGUAUGCUUGGCACAUAUUGAAUUUGUGCUGUCUAAGGCGUCUGCUGUUUCAGGUAUACAUGUUCAUUGUUAUUGAAAAUCAACAAGAAUGUAAUUGUCAGCAAAGUAAUAAUUUUUGUUUCUGACACUAGUGUGUUCCACUUGUAAAGUAUUGGUCAAUAAAGAUUUCAGUUGAAAA
rnacentral:lncRNA from 1 species